rnacentral:RNase_P_RNA from 1 species
UUGGUUUCGUGGAUGAUUGCUUUGGGGACAGGUUUUCGAAUCUAGGCCCCGAAGAGGAAAGUCCGGACUCCCUAGGACAGCGCAAGGGAUAACGUCCCUCCACCGUAAGGUGAGGAACAGUGGAACAGAGAGAAUGUCCAGGGCCUUGAUCUCAGAACCGGGAACGGGAGGUUUUGAGGGAGCCGCUGGAGUGAAAACAGCUAAACUCUGCGUGGAGCAAGAUCAAAUAGGGGAGCUCAAUGCCUGGUCCGGGCAAGGCUUCCGGGUAAGAUCGCUUGAGGGCGGGGGUAACUCCGCUCCCAGAGAAAUGAUCAUCCAUCCUUCUCGGGAUUUUUAUGGGACCUGGGAGGGAGGACAGAAUCCGGCUUACAGCGAAACCAAUGAU